GAGUUUGAUCCUGGCUCAGAAUCAACGCUGGCGGCGUGCCUAACACAUGCAAGUCGAACGAGAAAGUGGAGCAAUCCAUGAGUAAAGUGGCGGCCGGGUGAGUAACACGUGACCAAUCUACCCUUGAGUGGGGGAUAACCUCGGGAAACCGGGGCUAAUACCGCAUAACAUCUUCGGGACGGAAGUGCUGAAGAUCAAAGGAGCAAUUCGCUUAAGGAGGAGGUCGCGGCUGAUUAGCUAGUUGGCGGGGUAAUGGCCCACCAAGGCAAAGAUCGGUAGCCGGCCUGAGAGGGCGCACGGCCACACUGGAACUGAAACACGGUCCAGACUCCUACGGGAGGCAGCAGUGGGGAAUUUUGCGCAAUGGGGGAAACCCUGACGCAGCAACGCCGCGUGGAGGAUGAAGUCCCUUGGGACGUAAACUCCUUUCGACCCGGACGAUAAUGACGGUACGGGUGGAAGAAGCCCCGGCUAACUUCGUGCCAGCAGCCGCCGUAAG
rnacentral:rRNA from 1 species